rnacentral:rRNA from 1 species
AGAACGAACGCUGGCGGCACGCCUAACACAUGCAAGUCGAGCGCCCAGCAAUGGGAGCGGCGGACGGGUGAGUAACACGUGGGAACAUGCCUUUCGGUACGGAACAACUGCGGGAAACUGCAGCUAAUGCCGUAUACGCCCUUACGGGGAAAGAUUUAUCGCCGAAAGAUUGGCCCGCGUCUGAUUAGCUAGUUGGUGAGGUAACGGCUCACCAAGGCUUCGAUCAGUAGCUGGUUUGAGAGAACGACCAGCCACAUUGGGACUGAGACACGGCCCAAACUCCUACGGGAGGCAGCAGUGGGAAUCUUGGACAAUGGGGAAACCCUGAUCCAGCGAUGCCGCGUGAGUGAUGAAGGCCUUCGGGUUGUAAAACUCUUUCGGACGGGGACGAUAAUGACGGUACCCGUAGAAGAAGCUCCGGCUAACUUCGCGCCAGCAGCCGC